rnacentral:rRNA from 1 species
CCACCAAGGCGACGAUCCGUAGCUGGUCUGAGAGGACGAUCAGCCACACUGGGACUGAGACACGGCCCAGACUCCUACGGGAGGCAGCAGUGGGGAAUCUUGCGCAAUGGGCGAAAGCCUGACGCAGCGACGCCGCGUGGGGAAGAAGGCUUUCGGGUUGUAAACCCCUUUCAGGAAGGACGAAGCCACUCGGGUGAAUAGCCCAGAGGGUGACGGUACUUCCAGAAGAAGCCCCGGCUAACUACGUGCCAGCAGCCGCGGUAAUACGUAGGGGGCAAGCGUUGUCCGGAUUUAUUGGGCGUAAAGAGCGUGUAGGCGGUUUGGUAGGUCCGCUGUGAAAACUCGAGGCUCAACCUCGAGACGCCGGUGGAAACCAUCAGGCUAGAGUCCGGAAGAGGAGAGUGGAAUUCCUGGUGUAGCGGUGAAAUGCGCAGAUAUCAGGAAGAACACCCGUGGCUAAGGCGGCUCUCUAGUACGGUACUGACGCUGAGACGCGAAAGCGUGGGGAGCGAACAGGAUUAGAUACCCUGGUAGUCCACGCCGUAAACGAUGGGUGCUAGGUGUA